UAUAUAAAACAAGAACUAUCUUUAAAAAAGAUAUCCGAUGUAUUUAAAUUUGAGUAUAUGUUUAAAACUUUCAUUUGGAUAACCUUCAGAAGCACAAAGAUACCAUUUAAAUAACGUUUUCUCUGUUUGUGUUCAAUAUUCUCGGUCCUCGUAUCUUUCUGUUUACAUUCACCAAAACCCCGCGGAAAUCUCACAUGCGUAAGUGCGUUCUAAAAGUCAUGUACGUUCGUACAACAAAGUUUACAUUAAAAAUUAUAUAAUUGUCCCGAAUAAACAGCUGUCACGGAUGCAAAGAGAUAUUGGAGAAGCAAUUAUUUUAAUAAAAAUAUAAACCUUUGUAAGAUCUAGUUGAAAUAUUUAUAGUUUUUUACUUGCUUUCCAUCACGAUAUAAUUAACGAGACGUUUUUUUCAAACACAACCAAAUCACCCAC
rnacentral:lncRNA from 1 species